GUGGGGAAUCUUGCGCAAUGGGCGAAAGCCUGACGCAGCCAUGCCGCGUGAAUGAUGAAGGUCUUAGGAUUGUAAAAUUCUUUCACCGGGGACGAUAAUGACGGUACCCGGAGAAGAAGCUCCGGCUAACUUCGUGCCAGCAGCCGCGGUAAUACGAAGGGGGCUAGCGUUGCUCGGAAUUACUGGGCGUAAAGGGCGCGUAGGCGGACAGCUUAGUCAGAGGUGAAAGCCCAGGGCUCAACCUUGGAAUUGCCUUUGAUACUGGCUGUCUUGAGUUUGGGAGAGGUGAGUGGAACUCCGAGUGUAGAGGUGAAAUUCGUAGAUAUUCGGGAGAACACCAGUGGCGAAGGCGACUCACUGGCCCAAUACUGACGCUGAGGCGCGAAAGCGUGGGGAGCAAACAGGAUUAGAUACCCGUGUAGUCC
rnacentral:rRNA from 1 species